rnacentral:rRNA from 1 species
UACGGAGGAUGCAAGCGUUAUCCGGAUUUAUUGGGUUUAAAGGGUGCGUAGGCGGAUAUGUAAGUCAGCGGUGAAACUCACAGGCUCAACCUGUGCCGUGCCGUUGAAACUGUGUAUCUGGAAUGCGGAUGCUGUGGGUGGAAUGUGUGGUGUAGCGGUGAAAUGCUUAGAUAUUACACAGAACACCGAUUGCGAAGGCAGCUUACUAAUCCAUCAUUGACGCUGAGGCACGAAAGCGUGGGGAUCAAACA